GAUGAAGAACGAAGCGAAAUGCGAUAAGUAAUGUGAAUUGCAGAAUUCAGUGAAUCAUCGAAUCUUUGAACGCACCUUGCGCUCCUUGGUAUUCCGAGGAGCAUGCCUGUUUGAGUGUCAUGAAAUUCUCAACCUUUUCAGCUUUCUUUGUUGAUCAGGCUUGGAUGUGGGAGUAUGCGGGCUUCUCAGAAGUCGGCUCUCCUGAAAUGCAUUAGCGGGACCUUUGUUGCCUGGCUUUGGUGUGAUAAUUAUCUACGCCAUUGUAGUCAAGCAGCUUAAAAUGAGGUUUCAGCUUCUAACCGUCUCCCCUGAGACAACUUUUUGACAAUUUGACCUCAAAUCAGGAAGGACUACCCGCUGAACUUAAGCAUAUCAAUAAGCGGAGGA
rnacentral:misc_RNA from 1 species